rnacentral:lncRNA from 1 species
GAAUACUCGAUAAAUGAAGACGAGCUUGAUCCGAGUGAGGAGUCGCUUGAGCCAAGAAAUCCAGCGCCGUCAACAACCAUGAUACUAAAAAAUCGGUGGCAGUCUUCAAACCGAAUACGUGAUUCGUGUUGACAAUGGCAGCCACCGAGGUUCAUUGUUUUUAACAUCCUUAAAUUCAUUGUUUUAAACUCACCUCCAUUGUUAAUUUAUAAUGAUGAGACCCAAUAUUAAAUGACGAAGGAAGGUAGUUAUCCGAUGACCGCUGCCCAGUUUCUGCCGUCGACGUGGUGUUUGCGGUUAAAAUUUAGUGUUCUGCGUUAUGUGACACAGUGGCAGGCAGGCCCAAGUAAUGGACAAGACUACGAUGACGAUAAAAGAAAGGGCAAUCGCGAGGAGUAAAAACCGAGGGGUUUCUCUCUGUACGUAGUCUGUAGCUUCUCUUCUCUCUCAAUCAAUUAUCCAGAGACCACAGCUAGCUAUGUGACACAGUGUCCAGUGCUGUGAAGAAGCCCGUGUUUAAAGCUUGGUCUCACUCUCUGGACUCUGGCUUGUUUGACUGCAGAGGAACCCACUGCGCGCACUGUUUUCCCACAGUGAUUGUGUCUGGUGCAACUCUUGACAGUGACAGUCUGAUACAGUGAUGGACAAAGACAUUGCCGGACUCAUGAGUAAUGACCGAUGCUUAAUGUUCAUCCGGAUCCAUUCAUUCUUUUGAUUGCGUUUGUAAUAUUACAAUCUUGCCACAACAUUGGAUUUUGCAAUUUUAAUCAAUUAAUCAAUCCGUCUUUAUUCGUCUAUCUGUUCCUCCGUCGAUCGUUGAUGUUGAAGAAAAAGAGAGAACGCAUGCAUUCAGCAUUCGACAAGACAGGACACAGACAGGCAGACAUAAGGGUUGUCACUUGUCACUUCUCCGCUAGACCUUCAUUCUUUUCUUUCCCAACAAAAAAUAUUACAAAAUUUCAUACUAAUCAUCUGCGUGGAGACGACGGACUCUGUUC